rnacentral:lncRNA from 1 species
GUCGUUUAAAAAUUGGUCUCUGUAUUCGCUAAUCCUUGCAAAUUAGUCUUGCAUUCUUUAAUCAUUUAAAAUUUCGUCCAUUGACCCAGUUAAUCGCUGCCCCGUCAUCAAAUUAGCAAAAUGGGAUGGGAAUGGACAAAAAUACCCUCUUCUUCUUUCACCUUCAUCUCUUUCUCUCCUUCCUCUUAUCAUCAACAACCACCUUAACAGCAGCAAAAACAUCAACCACUGUUGAAGGUGUUGUUACUCUUACUCAAGAAAACCAAGGUGACCCUCAAACUAGUAAAACCUUCGAUUGAACAUUCUGAUUACAUUAAAAUCACAAAAUUGCAUUAAAACAUGAUUAACAUAGAUUCAGUAACCAAUUUUUUUUCAAUACCCGUAACAAUUCAAAUCAAGUAAACAUACAAAACUUGUUCUGUACAGAGAAUAAACAAUUCGCAAUUGAAUGCUACCCAGAAGCUAGUUUUUGAAGAAACCUAGUUAAAACAAAACAACAGCGUGAUAUGAUACAACACUAAUUACUCUCUUGCUUUCAUCUCUACAAUGAAGAAGCCAUAUUCAUCUUGCUUUUAUAUCUACAAACAGCCACAAAACAGUGGUGGAGAUUGUUGUCAUCAAUGAAAACACACAAACUCUGAUUCAGCAAUAUAUACCCAUUCAGCAAUAUCCCGACAAGCUAAACUCAUUCAUCAAUAUAAACCCAUUCUCAAUUUCAGAACCACAACAAGAAAUAAUUAACAAGAAGCUAAACCCAGGUCAAAGGAUCGAUGUGAAUAUCUUUUGUGGCGACGCCGUCGGUGAAAGAAGGAUUUGAAUUAGCGACGCAUUCAUCGGGUCGAGAAGUGAUACCGAAUGAGUUUGCUUCGAUUAAGAAAUAUGAAGAAGAAUGGAAGAGUAAGAAGAAGAAGGGAAUCAGUUGCAGAGAAGAGAAGAGAAGAGGAGGGUUUCACGUUUUGAAGAAGACAAAGGAGGGGUAAAUUUGUCUAUUUCCAUGUCGUUUUGCUAAUCAACAGUGCCACAUCAUCAAAUUAAUGACGUGUCAGUCAUUAACUGGAUCAAAGGAUGAAAUUUUAAAUAAUUAAAGAAUGUAAGACUAAUUUGCAAAAAUUAGCGGUUACACGACUCCUAAUAGCAAGGAUUAUUUAAGUCAUUUCCCUUUUACCCAAAACUACUAUAAGGGGUUGAUGUGGAAAAGAGACACAAAU